AGCAGCCGCGGUAAUUCCAGCUCCAAUAGCGUAUAUUAAAGUUGUUGCAGUUAAAAAGCUCGUAGUUGAAUUUCGGGAUCAGUACGCUGGUCGUGCCUUCGGUAUGUACUGGUGUUACUGGUUCCUACCUUCUGACGAACCGUCAUGUCAUUAAUUUGGUGUGGCGGGGAAUCAGGACUGUUACUUUGAAAAAAUUAGAGUGUUUAAAGCAGGCUCGCGCUCGAAUACAUUAGCAUGGAAUAAUGAAAUAGGACGUUCGAUCCUAUUUUGUUGGUUUCUAGGAUUGACGUAAUGAUUAAUAGGGAUAGUUGGGGGCAUUAGUAUUCAAUUGUCAGAGGUGAAAUUCUUGGAUUUAUUGAAGACUAACUACUGCGAAAGCAUUUGCCAAGGAUGUUUUCAUUAAUCAAGAACGAAAGUUAGGGAUCGAAGACGAUCAGAUACCGUCGUAGUCUUAACCAUAAACUAUGCCGACUAGGGAUCGGAUGAUGUUAAUUUUUAUGUACUCAUUCGGCGCCUUAAC
rnacentral:rRNA from 1 species